ACAUUGAAGCACCAGUUCUUGUACAAUCACCAAAGUUAAGCACUGUUGAUCCUGGUCAGUACCUAGAUGGGUGACCACUUGGGAAUACCAGGUGCUGU